CCUACGGGAGGCAGCAGUAAGGAAUAUUGGUCAAUGGGCGCAAGCCUGAACCAGCCAUGCCGCGUGCAGGAAGACGGCCCUAUGGGUUGUAAACUGCUUUUGAACAAGAGAAAACCUCGGUACGUGUACCGAGCUGAUAGUAUUGUUAGAAUAAGCAUCGGCUAACUUCGUGCCAGCAGCCGCGGUAAGACGAAGGAUGCAAGCGUUAUCCGGAUUCAUUGGGUUUAAAGGGUGCGUAGGCGGCCUGAUAAGUCAGUGGUGAAAUCUCUCAGCUUAACUGAGAAACUGCCAUUGAUACUGUCGGGCUUGAGUACAGAUGAUGUGGGCGGAAUAUGACAUGUAGUGGUGAAAUACUUAGAUAUGUCAUAGAACACCGAUUGCGAAGGCAGCUCACAAAACUGUAACUGACGCUGAGGCACGAAAGUGCGGGGAUCAAACAGGAUUAGAUACCCUGGUAGUCCGCACCGUAAACGAUGAUUACUCGUUGUUGGCAAUAUGACCGUCAGCGACCAAGCGAAAGCGANAAGUAAUCCACCUGGGGAGUACGCCGGCAACGGUGAAACUCAAAGGAAUUGACGGCGNGAGAGNGCGACGGACGACACGAGGGAGGAGG
rnacentral:rRNA from 1 species